rnacentral:rRNA from 1 species
UACGAUCUGUGCGAACGUUAUCCGGAAUGAUUGGGCGUAAAGCGUCCGCAGGUGGCUAUGUAAGUCUGCUGUUAAAGAGUGAGGCUCAACCUCAUAAGAGCAGUGGAAACUACGUGGCUAGAGUGCGUUCGGGGUAGAGGGAAUUCCUGGUGUAGCGGUGAAAUGCGUAGAUAUCAGGAAGAACACCGGUGGCGAAAGCGCUCUGCUAGGCCGCAACUGACACUGAGGGACGAAAGCUAGGGGAGCGAAUGGG